rnacentral:piRNA from 1 species
UAGGGCAGCUGAUUCUUAGGACGGG